rnacentral:rRNA from 1 species
AGGCUGAGACGUGAUGCCGAGCCGUUCUGGUGAAGUCAUUGAUCCUAUGCUGCCGAGAAAAGCCUCUAGCGAUGUUUCGAGCGGCCCGUACCCUAAACCGACACAGGUGGUCAGGUAGAGAAUACCGAGGCGACGGGUGAACUGUGGUUAAGGAACUCGGCAAAUUGCCCCCGUAACUUAGGGAGAAGGGGGGCCGGACGCGUGAAGCCACUUGCUGGUGGAGCGUGGUAUGGCCGCAGAGAGCAGGGGGAAGCGACUGUUUACUAAAAACACAGGUCCAUGCCAAGUCGUAAGACGAUGUAUAUGGACUGACGCCUGCCCGGUGCUGGAACGUUAAGGGGACCUGUUAGCUCUUCGGGGCGAAGCGGAGAACUUAAGCGCCAGUAAACGGCGGUGGUAACUAUAACCAUCCUAAGGUAGCGAAAUUCCUUGUCGGGUAAGUUCCGACCUGCACGAAUGGCGUAACGACUUCCCCACUGUCUCAACCACAGGCCCGGCGAAAUUGCAGUACGAGUAAAGAUGCUCGUUACGCGCGGCAGGACGGAAAGACCCCGGGACCUUUACUAUAGCUUGACAUUGGUAUCUGAAUUCGAUUGUGUAGGAUAGGUGGGAGACUGUGAAGCUCGGACGCCAGUUCGGGUGGAGUCAUUGUUGAAAUACCACUCUGUUGGGUUUGGGUAUCUAACUUGCGGCCCUGAUCGGGUCGAGGGACAGUGUCUGGUGGGUAGUUUAACUGGGGCGGUUGCCUCCUAAAGGGUAACGGAGGCGCCCAAAGGUUCCCUCAGCCUGGUUGGCAAUCAGGUGUUGAGUGUAAGUGCACAAGGGAGCUUGACUGUGAGACUGACGGGUCGAGCAGGGACGAAAGUCGGGACUAGUGAUCCGGCACUUGCGUGUGGAAGCGGUGUCGCUCAACGGAUAAAAGGUACCCCGGGGAUAACAGGCUGAUCUUCCCCAAGAGUCCAUAUCGACGGGAUGGUUUGGCACCUCGAUGUCGGCUCGUCGCAUCCUGGGGCUGUAGCAGGUCCCAAGGGUUGGGCUGUUCGCCCAUUAAAGCGGUACGCGAGCUGGGUUUAGAACGUCGUGAGACAGUUCGGUCCCUAUCCGCCGUGCGCGUUGGAUACUUGAGAAGGGCUGUCCCUAGUACGAGAGGACCGGGACGGACGAACCUCUGGUGUGCCAGUUGUUCCGCCAGGAGCAUGGCUGGUUGGCUACGUUCGGAAGGGAUAACCGCUGAAAGCAUCUAAGCGGGAAGCUCGCUUCGAGAUGAGGUAUCCCACCACCUUGAGUGGGUAAGGCUCCCAGCUAGACUACUGGGUUGAUAGGCCGGAGAUGUAAGCACGGUAACGUGUUGAGUUGACCGGUACUAAUAGGCCGAGGGCUUAACCA